rnacentral:rRNA from 1 species
AACGAACGCUGGCGGCAGGCUUAACACAUGCAAGUCGAGCGCCCCGCAAGGGGAGCGGCAGACGGGUGAGUAACGCGUGGGAAUCUACCCAUCUCUACGGAAUAACGCAUGGAAACGUGUGCUAAUACCGUAUACGUCCUUCGGGAGAAAGAUUUAUCGGAGAUGGAUGAGCUCGCUUGGGAUUAGCUAGUUGGUAGGGUAAAGGCCUACCAAGGCGACGAUCCAUAGCUGGUCUGAGAGGAUGAUCAGCCACACGGGGACUGAGACACGGCCCAGGCUCCUCCGGGAGGCAGCAGUGGGGAAUAUUGGACAAUGGGCGCAAGCCUGAUCCAGCCAUGCCGCGUGAGUGAUGAAGGCCCUAGGGUUGUAAAGCUCUUUCACCGGUGAAGAUAAUGACGGUAACCGGAGAAGAAGCCCCGGCUAACUUCGUGCCAGCCGCCGCCGUAAGAC